GGCGCCCGGAAGAGAAGGUUGAGGAAGGAAGCGCUAACAUCUUGUGGCGAUUAGGCUUCUGCCCUCACCCGCCCCAGAAGCAAGUUGAGUGUUCCCUACAGCUUUGUUCAAAUCUUUCCCUUGCCAGAAACUGGGUCCAGAGCUCAGAUUAAGUUUUUGAGGGGCUGCUCUAGACUAGGUAGGGUCUGCUGCCUGUCUGCCAGAUGCUAGGCUAAGGGAUACUUAUGAAACACAGUAAAACAAAUUUUUAAAUGGGGUCAUGGCCAUAUGCAGAGUACAAGCCCGGGUUUCGUUAUUUUGCUUCUGUUUUUCAGUGAGUCUCAUGUAUUAUGGAUGGCCUUCAAUUCACAAUCCGCUUCACGUUUGUUGGCUGUGCCACCAUUCCUAACUGCUGGAGAGUUUUAUGUCAACUUGACACGAGCUAAAGUGACUAAGAGGAGAACCAAUUAAGAAAAUGCCUCCAUAGGAUCAGGUUUUAGGCAGUCCUGUAGGUAUUUUCUUACUUAGAGAUUGAUGGGAGAGUGAUGCUGAUCCUGUGCUGAUGACCCUGGAUUCUACAAGAAAGCAGGCUGAGCAAGCCAUGAGGAGCAAGGCAGUAAGCAGCACCCCUCCGUGGCCUUUGCAUCAGCUCCUGUCUCCAGAUCAAGCAAGAUAAAAUCCUGGCAUGGAAGAAGAAAGGGUCAUGAAACUGCACCCCUAGAAACUGAUUCGAGGGCCCGAGAAGACAGUUCAGUUGGCGAUGUGCUUGCAAUCAGAAUAAGGACCUGAGCCUCGAGACCGGGCACCUGCAUGAAACACCAGACACAGUGGCUCAUCCCUGUAACCUCAGCUCAGAAACGGAGAUGGGAUCCUCGGGCUUCGCUGGUCAGCCACCCUAGCCAGUCAGUGGACUCUGGAUUCUCUGAGAGUACUUACUUGUAACUAUAAGAGGGGGUGGGGAUGUGCCAUGCCUCUUUGAAAGAUCUCAUGGGAGGAUUCCUACCUAAUAACACCCCAAAACAAAACAAAGUCUGAGGACAUAAUGAACACACAGCUCUCCACUGUCUUCGCAAAUCGGCCAUCUUCAGGUCAGUAGCAGGCUGAGUUUACUGAACUGAUGCAAAAGAAGAAAAACCGGAAGUCCUUAUCACAGGAGCUGAAGACUACGUCAUCAACAGUGUGGGCAACGUGUGUGGUGAGCUGCAAGCAGUGUACCUGAGCCUGGGCAAUCAUGAUGGCUCCCCUACCGUCACGAGGACAAACUGAGAAACUUCUAUUUCUGUUCAGGAGAAUUGUGAUAAAGGCAACUGAUAAAAGCGUGGAAGGACACGAGAAACCGGAAGGACAGCGGGAUGGCAGGUUCUGAAGUGGCCCACUGGUCCUUCGCACUCUGAGUUGCUUAGGAACGCAUGGACUUGUCUUGCUUUGCUACUGUUCAGGUUAGGAAUGCUGAGUAAACCCUCACAACGUGAAUAUAAUUUUCAGGUUUUUUUAAAAAAAAAAUUAUUGCAAACAAUCCCAGUGUUCUCUACACUGUGUUAAUGCGUGAUCUUUCUAAGCCAUGGGUGGUAGACUGCUUGACGAAACCACUCAGAAGACAUUGAACAUUUCUAAGGAAGUAAGCAGCAUCCGUCCAUCCCAAGUUUUUGUUUUUCUUUAAGCAUCCCAUGCUCAUGAAAACUCCCCAUGUGUUUUGUAUGUGACCCAUGACCCUAAAAGAAAUCUAGCAGCCAGAGCUGGUGGUGAAAGGGAAGAGGGCCCAGAGGUGUUUAGUGACUGAUUUUAACAAAAGCUAUUUGCGGCUGAAUCUGAAAGUAUGAUUAGGACCCCAAUGUUGACACAGACCAAAGAUUCAUGAUAAGUGAGUUCACUUAGUUAAAAAAAAAUUCCUGUAAUAAUUCUAACUAGUACAAAAAUUUACUAAAUAACUGACUACUGCAUAAUAAAAUUUCAUAUUAAUUACCUUUGAAUCCUUCUAAAACCUUGUAUGUAUCCUUAUCAAUUCUCCACACCAUAAAUUUGCUUUUGUUUUUCUAGCCCUCACACAAGUGGCUUUAGUUCUAUAUGUAUCUGUAAGGUUAAAAGUCUAACGUUGGAUAGAAAGACUACAUCUCUCUGUAAUAUUUUCCUACAUUUUAUGCUAUAAAGUAGAUUCUAUAUUAUGUAAACUCAAAGAUAUGAAAAUAUUUUCACAUGUAUUCCCCCUCUCGAGAAAGGGUAUUUCUGUCCUGGAACUCUAUGUAGACCUGACUGGCCUCGAACUCAUAGAGAUCCACCUGCCUCCGCCUCCAGACUGGAGGCAUGCCCUGGGAUUUUCAGCUUUCUGGGUCUCCCCUCUGCUUUGCAGAGAGUCCUUGCCCGUGUGUGUCUGCAGCAUGCAUGCAUUUCCUCACCCUCAAAAACACCUUUCUGCAAUUGCUAAAUAAAUGUCACCUUUAUUU